CGUUGAAACAGCGGUUCUCGUACGAUCACCAAAGUUAAGCAAGGUCGAGUAUGGUUAGUACGUAGACGGGUAACCGCUUGGAAAUAUCAGGUGCUGUAAG